CGUGUUGACAAUGAAGGUGGUGACCGCGGCGGCGAGCGGCGCGAGUUGGUGGCUGCGGGACUGGAUGACACGGCUCAUAUAUGAGCUUCUGACUAAUCCAGCUUCUUUUGGUCCAGCUGGGCAUUACUUUGAGUUCAUAUAUGUGCUUGUCACUCCAUAGGAGCGCAUGAUAGACUACUAAAUGGACAAGUAUCUGCAACGUUCAGCGUCAAAGAUGAUGCUUACCAGAUGUUCUACAGCAGCCCCAUCCAUAUCAUCGGCAUGAAGUUAGAUUUUGGCCUUCAUUCGUUAAAAGUUUGUGUACAAGGAACUCCAGGAGUAGAAUCCUAAAGAGAACUCGCACCCAACAAUGUGCUUUAGCUCUC